rnacentral:lncRNA from 1 species
CUUGAUUUUAACUCCCUGUGCGUGUCUCUCCUUCGCGCUUCCAAACAACGCGAUCCAACCCUCUAGUUCUCUCCUCCGUAAUACGUGAAACCCAACAAAGAGGCACGCCAAAAGCAGCAGCAAGGACAUGCGCAGCGGUACCAAGUAUAAUCUCCUUGUAUUUUUCCUCGAUGUCCCUCUCAAUUAGUACCAUCGUAGCAGAAAAAUAAUAGGAGCACAUGAAAUUGUCCUUAGCGUGAUAUAGCUCCACGUAUCAUCUCAAGGAAAAGAUAUUGAUCCCAGCCAUCAAUUCUUUCUUUCCUCUUCCGAAAUGGGUCAAAACUUCAAAAAAAAAAGUUACUUGUCCAAAAGGGUGAAAGAUUUUGAGUUUUGAGUUUUGAUUUUGGGCCUUUCAGUCCGUAGUGUUUUUCGUCCGUUCCCCCCCAACCCCGCCCCAAUUUGCCAUAAUUCUUAGACUAUAAAUAUGCUAUUUCUUUUUCUUUUGGAGGUUGUUCAGUGUUGGGAGAAAAGGAGAUUUAGGACAGAAAAUGAUUUUUUGAAAAUCUUGGAUCGAUAAUACAUACAGCUUAAGGUGAAAUAGUUGAAAUACACACUUAGUGCUUCAAAGAAAACAGAGGAGAUAGUUUGUUCAGUUUUGAGAUUUAUAUCUCUGUAAAAACGUCCAAUUACUGUUCGUCUCUGUGCUCAUGUGGUGAAGGUCUUCGCUGCCUGCUCACUCAUUCAAAAUCACUGCACAUGAAAAGGUAACCCCUUCAGAUUUCUACUCGUUUCAUUAUUGUUUCACGCGCUCUCCUCGAGUAACUCUGUUCUCUGCCUGAUUCAUUGUUGUUGUGUGUUGAAAGUUGUUUUGGCUUUCGAGUGGGUUUUAACUUAGUAGAUUAAUAUGAAAGGCAUUCUUUCCGUGAGUCGUUCAUCUCUUGGCGUUUACAGAUAGGCUAAGUGAAGAAGUGAGGAUAAUUGUUCCUGUCUUCUUGAGUGUCUUUGUUGUUGGCUGAACAAUUUGUUAACUUUGCAUUCUGAAUAUUAAAAUUUGCGGUGUUUUUAUGUUCUUUCAAAAAAAAUUGUAAACUAUAUGGCUAUUGAUGUUUAAACUUUCUGUUUGCCUGUUAUUCCGCGUUGUUUCAAGUAUUUAUCGUUCAUCCACCGUCUGUUCCUGUCGGACUGACUCGUGAAAUAUUUCGAUUAUUGUUAUGCAUAUAAGAAUGUGGUCUAAAAUGUACAUGUCAGCUGUGUUUGUCUUCAAAUCAUUUUCUAUCACCCUAAAAAAAUUGUUACACUACUUGUUUAUUUUUCCAAAAUUUUCAUCGAUAUGUUUUUUCAGUUUUAAAAUGUUUCACUCAUCUUAGACUAUUUUUAAUUCGAUGUUAGUAUACAUUAUUGCAUCGCACUCGACGUCAUCUUCUUCUAUCUCUCGUUGCAAGUUCGGAGAAUGAAUCAAGAUGUCAAAAUUUGAAGUCCAUUUACUAUCUGUAUCGUUGCUUGUUUUAGGGUCUUUAGUUGUUUGUUUAAAUCAUGUUUAUUCGUACCCCUGCUCGAUUGGUUUGAAAUUUAACUCAUCUUGUCACUUUCGUUAAUUUGAAUCAAAAUGUCUCUUUCUGUUUAUGUGUGGAUUCGACGAAUACAUAGAUUGAUGGAAUCAAUAGCUCAGUUGUGAUUUGUUUGUAUUAUUUGGUGCCAACAACCAUUGAAAUUGCAGUCACUGUUAUUCCCUAUUUAGUUUUCAACUAAAUAUUUAUUCCUAUCUUUUUUAUAUUGACUUUUAGUUGAGAGUAACUAUGGCCUUAUUUAUUCAUUGCUUUCCUCUUCAGUUAAUUAUUAAUUUGUAAAUAAAAUGGCAGAUUUAGGGAAGAAGUGUCAGAAUCAUUUAUGGGCUUUAAAUGCUAGAAUGUGAUUAAAAAUUACUGCCAAACUUGAUUUUGUUUAAAAUAUUCAUAUAGUUGUCCUUGUAUAAUAAUCAUUUUUAUUUCUUAAAGUUGUCACAUGUUUUGAAUAUAUCUUUAUCUGUUAGGUAUAUUCUUGGAUAAAACUAUUGGUUCAAUUGCCUUCUAUUAACCAGCCUCUUAUUUAUUUCUUUAUCUUAAGGUGCUUCAGUUGAACUUCCUUUCUAUACCUUUAUUUCAGGAUUGGUCUAUUAAAGUUAAAAUAACAUACUAAUUUUUUUUGUCGCAUGAGAGAAUAUACCCGAGUUCACCAAGAACUCUCAUCUUUCCCUUACAUUUCGAGAGAGAUCUAAAGUAUCAUACUUCCUCUUAUCAAGUCAACCAGCCUUAUUUGAACAAACAUACAAGUCCCAAAGCGGAAGAACUUGAAGAUAUUGGACCUUAAAUGCCCAAAUUUAUUUGAAAUAUUGUAUUUUGUCAUUUCUUGGGCAUGAGCACUUGUGUUUUUUUAAAAUUAUUCUACUAUUACUGUAUGAUUAGUGUAGGGUAGGUACGAUUGAAGUGGGUCAAAAGCGCAACAAAAAAUGGGUCCAAAUACCGGUCCAGGCGAAAAGAAACCAGAUUUGGACCAAACUCUCUCUCUCUUACUUUAUCGCAUUUAUUUCCUUCUUUGUCAAUAUCUAUUGUUACUUUUAGGGUCAAAAAAAUUAAAUCCUCGCAAAACGCCAUAUCAUUUUGACAAUUUAAGCUAAAUCAACCCAUGUAUAAAAAGAUUUAGCGAUAUAAAUUUUUCAAAGUUAGUUGUUGGAUUACCACAAGUUAGUUGAUAUUUUACGUGCCAUAAAAAACCUUCCUAAAAUAUUUAUAAGAAGCCCCGAACCCCCUUUAAACUUUUCAAUGGAUUUGGUGUUUGAGAAUUUUUAAAACAAAUGUUUCUUGAUUUUCCUAAAAUUAAGUGAUGAUUAUAACAAGUCUAAAAUACUAAAAUAUUUUUUCCAAAAUAAAACAUGGCCCCACUUCUAUAAAUGAGGGACUACAAAGAUUUAGGAAAAGUUUCCCUUCAUUCAUACUUUAAAUCAUCUAAUAGAGUUGUGUGCUAAGGAACUUAGUCUAACUCGUGCAUUCCUCAGAUUCAUUUGAAUGCCACUCAUACUCAAGGUAGUUUAAAAGUAAAGUUAAGUUUAUUAUCGAUGAGUUACACUAGCCUAAACUCUUUUGAAAUUCAUGAUACUACAAAGGGUCUUAAGAGAAGCCCAUGAAUGACUAUAAGUGUUCAGAUUCAAAAGAAUGCACUCUUAUUCAUAUGAAUCGUGUGUUUGAGCUAAAAGCAAGAUAUAUUUCCAGACUCUUUUCUCUAAACCUUGUUUUAGUUGAGACCCUUAUGAGAAGUAUAUUUUGGAGCUUGGGUAGUAUUUUCACAUGAAAAGAUAGUAAGAGUUAUGAGAUUAUAAGAAGUGGUAAGAGUCCCCAAAGUUAGAAAUAAUGCAUGUAGAGGUUUAGUAAUCUAAGAAAGAGAGAAGGUAAUGAGGCAAGCUAUGUAUUAUUGUCAUGCAACUUGUAAGUUAGUUUUUAAUAAAAAGUUUUCCCUUAUGGGUAGACUAAGAGGUCCAAUUUUCGUAUAGACUUCAUGAUAAGAGGUAGAGUUAUAGUUACUAGUUAGGAUGAGGUAGAGUAUACUUUAACAAGAAAAGAGGUUAUGAAGACAUGUCAUUGUGUUAGUAAUGAGGUGAUAACUCUAAGGUAGGCUUAUGAUCUUUAAAGGAAGCUCAUAAUAUUCAAAGGGUAGUAGAACUAAUUAGGAAAUGAUGUCUGAAUGAGUAAAUAAUACAUAAGUCAUGAAAUAAAAUGUUAUGAUAAUUUGUAUGUACGUAGACAGAGAGAUAAAAUUGACCACUUUUGAUGAGAUUUUAGUGGGAGAGUAUUUCGUAAUAUGUAUCUAGUAAAUGUAAGUUAGUAUAGUAAGUAGUUGAUCAUAUUGAUAUUUGAGUUUAGUAAUAAACAUUAGGCUUGAAUUUGAUAUGAGAGCGAUAGCUAAAAAAUGAAUGGAAACAUGAGGGUGAUGAUGUUAGUUCGAGAUCUAAUAUGGUAGAUUUGACAGAUAGUAGGUAAGAAAUAGAGGUGUUACCAUUUACAAGCAUGAGUGGUACAAGUAUGAGAUUCUAACUUUUAGAAGGUAAAAAUGUAGUGUGGCUAUGUAAUUAGACUUACCAGAUAAUUGAGAUGCCUAACUGAGAUAGUAUGUAGUUAUAAGAUAUUACAAUUAGAUAAUGAUUAUUUUUCAUGUCUUCCUAUAUAGUAUAUCUGAUUUUUUCCCUUAAGAGUUAGACGACGCGAUCCUAUAAGCUAACGAGAAUAGGUUAGGAGAAGCAUCUUACAAAUAUGUCUCACAAUGAAUCUCAGUACCAGCUUACGGAGAGCCUAGUAGGCAUGAGAAAAUCCAUUUCCAAGUAUUAGAGUAAAAUAAAUAUAGACAAAUGUUGAGAUGAUGGAAUAGAUCCAUAAACUUUUCGGUGUCAAUCCAAACUUAAGGGGGAGAUGAUAAUAUGAAUAACCAAGUCAAGUAUUACGGAUGAUAUAAUGAUGUGUUCCGAAAGAGGUAUAUCAAUCCAUUCAUAAUCUUUUGUAUUCCUCAAGUCCAGUUAUUAAUACAUCUUGUUGACGUUUCUAAUAUUUGAAUUGCGUGUAUGACCUAUGCUCAUAUACUUAAGAGAGAUUCAUAUCUAUGAUCAGUUUUAAAAAAUGAUGGGUAAAGACUUCAGCCCAUUAAUAUCAACCUUAAUUCAUAUCAUUAUAUGAACCCAUUCAUAUAACCAUUCAUGUCUCAUAGUAUGUUUAUUCUACCAAGUUUAUUAUUUACAAUCAAUGGCUAGCAAUAUAAUUUUGUUUCAUUCAUAUUCUUUUAUCGAAUAUCUCAAAUGAAUCGUGCUUAUAAUAUUUUUCCUUAAAUCCCUCUUAGUGAUCCCUUUUCGUUUAGGGUGUUGUUGUUCUUAAUAGUUGUGUGAAGGAUAGAAAAGAGGAUUGAUGUUUCUUGUUGUGAUAGUGAUGGUGUGUUUAUUCAAUCUAAGCUUAUAAAUGUAAAGGAAUAAGUAGAUAAGGUUUUGCAAUUAGUAAUGUAAUUUUCCUGGUAAUAUUGCACGAAAGUUAAAUGGGUAGAAUUGAUGAGAGAAUGAAGAAUCAUUAUGAGGGUUUGUUAGUAGGAGUUAAUGGAUUGGUUAUAGUAAUAGUAUUGAAUGUGGUGUUGGUAUCAUGUGGAUGAAUGCAUGAUUCAUUUUAUGUUUCUUGAUAUUGGCUCAAGGUUGACUGAAGCUUAGUAGGGAAGUUCAAAAGUUAGAAAGAUAGUUAGAGUAACCACUUUCCCUUCCAUCCUCAUUUUAUCCAUCAUUCGAGGAUGAAUGAUACCAAUGGAGAGAUAAUGUAACACCUCAAAAUUUCUAAGUUAAUCCCAAACCAUUCUUGAAUGACGUAUAAAGUUGUACUGAGGGAAUCUUAAUAUUUCGUAGGUAUUAGGUGUAACACUUCAAAAAUCCAAGAAAUAUUCUAGAUCCUAACAUAAGUUUCAUAAGUUUUAGACACUAUUUAAAGGUCCACUUUAAAUAUUACAAGUUAUUUAGGAAGUCUAGAAAUAAAAACGUCCAAAAAACGUCCAUGAUGUCCGGAAACUAGUUCAAGGAGUUACUAGCGUGCCUUAGCCUAUUUGACUAGAUUUAAGAAGUAGAAAAAUGAUGAAAAUUGGUGGAAUGGUGUAUAACUUGUGUUUAAUUUGACUUACGAUCGAAACGUCCAGGUACGAAUCCCCAAGGACAAACCAAGGGCCCUUGAGAAGGACCCUUCUACGUUGGAGUCAAAGACUUCCUGGGCAGUGUGCAUUGACGAAGGAAGUAGACGAGGCGUAUGUUGAUCAAAGUUCCAGUCGUUGAAGUGCUUUUGAAGAUGACUUGAUAUUAAUCCAAGUAGGGUUGGUCCUCACUUUCCGAGGGCAAGGUUAAUAUCAAGCUAUGAUAUUAUUCUAUUAUUAAACUCUCAUGUUUCUUUCCUUUUUAUGUAGUAUGGAAUAUUGUAUAGCCCCUGUGAGGCAUUCUUACUUUAACGUAUGGACUAUGCCCAAGUUCUUACACUCUUAUUAGAUUGUUAUGAGAUGAGAUGACUAUUAUGACUAUGUUAUAUAUAUAUGUGUGUGUGUGUGUGUGUGUGUGUGUGUGCGCAAUAGAAGUAUAAAACUAAGUAAUCUUUCGAUACGAAG